GUUGAACGCUAGCGACAGGCUUAACACAUGCAAGUCGAGGGGCAGCACAGGUAGCAAUACCGGGUGGCGACCGGCGCACGGGUGAGUAACGCGUAUGCAACUUGCCUAUCAGAGGGGGAUAACCCGGCGAAAGUCGGACUAAUACCGCAUGAAGCAGGGAUCCCGCAUGGGAAUAUUUGCUAAAGAUUCAUCGCUGAUAGAUAGGCAUGCGUUCCAUUAGGCAGUUGGCGGGGUAACGGCCCACCAAACCGACGAUGGAUAGGGGUUCUGAGAGGAAGGUCCCCCACAUUGGUACUGAGACACGGACCAAACUCCUACGGGAGGUAGCAGUGAGGAAUAUUGGUCAAUGGCCGAGAGGCUGAACCAGCCAAGUCGCGUGAGGGAUGAAGGUUCUAUGGAUCGUAAACCUCUUUUAUAAGGGAAUAAAGUGCGGGACGUGUCCCGUUUUGUAUGUACCUUAUGAAUAAGGAUCGGCUAACUCCGUGCCAGCAGCCGCGGUAAUACGGAGGAUCCGAGCGUUAUCCGGAUUUAUUGGGUUUAAAGGGUGCGUAGGCGGCCUUUUAAGUCAGCGGUGAAAGUCUGUGGCUCAACCAUAGAAUUGCCGUUGAAACUGGGGGGCUUGAGUAUGUUUGAGGCAGGCGGAAUGCGUGGUGUAGCGGUGAAAUGCAUAGAUAUCACGCAGAACCCCGAUUGCGAAGGCAGCCUGCCAAGCCAUUACUGACGCUGAUGCACGAAAGCGUGGGGAUCAAACAGGAUUAGAUACCCUGGUAGUCCACGCAGUAAACGAUGAUCACUAGCUGUUUGCGAUACACUGUAAGCGGCACAGCGAAAGCGUUAAGUGAUCCACCUGGGGAGUACGCCGGCAACGGUGAAACUCAAAGGAAUUGACGGGGGCCCGCACAAGCGGAGGAACAUGUGGUUUAAUUCGAUGAUACGCGAGGAACCUUACCCGGGUUUGAACGCAUUCGGACCGAGGUGGAAACACCUUUUCUAGCAAUAGCCGUUUGCGAGGUGCUGCAUGGUUGUCGUCAGCUCGUGCCGUGAGGUGUCGGCUUAAGUGCCAUAACGAGCGCAACCCUUGCCACUAGUUACUAACAGGUAAAGCUGAGGACUCUGGUGGGACUGCCAGCGUAAGCUGCGAGGAAGGCGGGGAUGACGUCAAAUCAGCACGGCCCUUACAUCCGGGGCGACACACGUGUUACAAUGGCGUGGACAAAGGGAAGCCACCUGGCGACAGGGAGCGAAUCCCCAAACCACGUCUCAGUUCGGAUCGGAGUCUGCAACCCGACUCCGUGAAGCUGGAUUCGCUAGUAAUCGCGCAUCAGCCAUGGCGCGGUGAAUACGUUCCCGGGCCUUGUACACACCGCCCGUCAAGCCAUGGGAGCCGGGGGUACCUGAAGUCCGUAACCGCGAGGAUCGGCCUAGGGUA
rnacentral:rRNA from 1 species